rnacentral:rRNA from 1 species
UACGAAGGGGGCUAGCGUUGCUCGGAAUCACUGGGCGUAAAGCGCACGUAGGCGGAUCUUUUAAGUCAGGGGUGAAAUCCUGGAGCUCAACUCCAGAACUGCCUUUGAUACUGGGGAUCUCGAGUCCGGGAGAGGUGAGUGGAACUGCGAGUGUAGAGGUGAAAUUCGUAGAUAUUCGCAAGAACACCAGUGGCGAAGGCGGCUCACUGGCCCGGUACUGACGCUGAGGUGCG